UUGAUAGCCCUGGAGUCUUCUCUUUUUCUCCCUGCAUGGGAAGAGCAAGGCAAUCUUCCCCACAGUGCCAAGCCAAUGUGGCUCAUCACUGAUCUGGAGGGACCAUCUCUGGAGUAUUUCAGUCCCCAUAUUCAUUCAAUCCUUGGUAUCU
ensembl:misc_RNA